GUGCUCACUUCAGCAACACAUAUACUAAAAUUGGAACAAUACAGAGAAGAUUAACAUGGCUUCUGCACAAGGAUGACGUGCAAAUUCAUGAAGCAUUCCAUAUUUUU
rnacentral:snRNA from 1 species